rnacentral:tRNA from 1 species
AGUCAGGUCAGCUAAGUAAGCUUUUGGGCCCAUACCCCAAAAAUGUUGGUUAAAAUCCAUCCCUCGCUA